GUGCUCACUUCAGCAGCACAUACACUAAAAUUGGAACAAUACAGAAAAAAUUAGCAUGGCCCUUGUGCAAGGAUGACACGCAAAUUUAUGAAGCAUUUCAUAAUUUU